rnacentral:rRNA from 1 species
CCCUUAGACGUUCUGGGCCGCACGCGCGCUACACUGACGGAGCCAACGAGUACUAUCCUUGGCCGAGAGGUCCGGGUAAUCUUGUGAAACUCCGUCGUGCUGGGGAUAGAGCAUUGCAAUUAUUGCUCUUCAACGAGGAAUUCCUAGUAAGCGCAAGUCAUCAGCUUGCGUUGAUUACGUCCCUGCCCUUUGUACACACCGCCCGUCGCUAGUACCGAUUGAAUGGCUUAGUGAGGCUUCAGGAUUGGUUCAGAGAAGGGGGCAACUCCAUCUUGGAACCGAGAAGUUAGUCAAACUUGGUCAUUUAGAGGAACUAAAAGUCGUAACA